GUAACUUGCCUUUAACGACUUCUUAUAUAGUAAAGGGCCGUUGGGCUCAAUAUUUGGCUUUUAAGAUUUAUGCUCUUGGAUAAAGCUGAUAAAUAAAAAAUGAAGAUGUGGAACCGUUUGAUUGCCAAUGAAACAACUCUCCACAAGGGACCAAAUGACACAGAAAUUAACAACUAUAGGUCACCGUACGACCUUCAACAAUGAGCAAAGCCCAUACCGCAUAGUCAGCUAUAACAGGCCCCGAAAUGACAAUGUAAAACAAUUCAAACAAGAAAACUAACGGGAACAGGAUCUGCUUACCCUUCCAGAGAACGUGAGAUCACCUCCAGUUUUGGUGGAGUUCGUGUUGCUCAGUCUUAAGUUUUCUAUGUUGCUUCACGUGUACUAUUAUUUGUCUAUUUGUCAUUUUCAUUUUUAGCC
rnacentral:lncRNA from 1 species